rnacentral:rRNA from 1 species
AGAGUUUGAUCCUGGCUCAGAAUGAACGCUGGCGGGCAUGCCUAACACAUGCAAGUCGAACGAAGGCUUCGGCCUUAGUGGCGCACGGGUGCGUAACGCGUGGGAAUCUGCCCCUUGGUUCGGAAUAACAGCGAGAAAUUGCUGCUAAUACCGGAUAAUGACGUAAGUCCAAAGAUUUAUCGCCUAGGGAUGAGCCCGCGUAGGAUUAGCUAGUUGGUGUGGUAAAGGCGCACCAAGGCGACGAUCCUUAGCUGGUCUGAGAGGAUGAUCAGCCACACUGGGACUGAGACACGGCCCAGACUCCUACGGGAGGCAGCAGUGGGGAAUAUUGGACAAUGGGCGAAAGCCUGAUCCAGCAAUGCCGCGUGAGUGAUGAAGGCCUUAGGGUUGUAAAGCUCUUUU